AGAGUUUGAUCCUGGCUCAGAACGAACGCUGGCGGCAGGCUUAACACAUGCAAGUCGAACGAGAAGCCACCUUCGGGUGGUGGACAGUGGCAGACGGGUGAGUAACGCGUGGGAACGUGCCUUUCGGUUCGGGAUAACCCAGGGAAACUUGGACUAAUACCGGAUACGCCCUUCGGGGGAAAGAUUCAUUGCCGAAAGAUCGGCCCGCGUCGGAUUAGCUAGUUGGUGAGGUAAAAGCUUACCAAGGCGACGAUCCGUAGCUGGUCUGAGAGGAUGACCAGCCACACUGGGACUGAGACACGGCCCAGACUCCUACGGGAGGCAGCAGUGGGGAAUAUUGGACAAUGGGCGAAAGCCUGAUCCAGCCAUGCCGCGUGGGUGAAGAAGGCCUUAGGGUUGUAAACCCCUUUCAGCGGGGAAGAUAAUGACGGUACCCGCAGAAGAAGCCCCGGCUAACUCCGUGCCAGCAGCCGCGGUAAUACGGAGGG
rnacentral:rRNA from 1 species